rnacentral:misc_RNA from 1 species
UCAAUAUCAAAGUCGUUAGAUAAGUUAUAAUAAAUAUUUCUCCAGAACUUGGUGCGAAAGCCGGAGCAGGAUUAGGAUUUGGAGGGGAAGCAGGAGGAGGAGUAGAAGGGGGAGCAGAAGCUGGAUUUGGAUUUGGCAUGAACGGCGGAGCAGGUGGAAGUAUGGGAGGAGGAGCACAAGGAGGCCGCAAAUAAUGAUCAUGAGAAUCAUAAGGAUCAUCGUACAAUGAAUUUUAUGCUCUUUAGGUUUCUGGAUAGAUAUGGAUAUUGAAGCCUAUCAUUAUAAGAUAGAUAAAAAUGAUUUAGAUUUCACUCCGCACUUUGACGUCUUUAUUAGAUUGUUUUGCACACUCAAGAACCCCGAUGGUUUUAAAAUAAAACUUAGCACUCUG